rnacentral:rRNA from 1 species
CCUACGGGUGGCAGCAGUGAGGAAUAUUGGUCAAUGGGCGAGAGCCUGAACCAGCCAAGUCGCGUGAAGGAUGACGGCCCUACGGGUUGUAAACUUCUUUUGUCAGGGAGCAAUUGGGUCCACGCGUGGGCUUAGCGAGAGUACCUGAAGAAAAAGCAUCGGCUAACUCCGUGCCAGCAGCCGCUGUCAUACGGAGGAUGCGAGCGUUAUCCGGAUUUAUUGGGUUAAAAGGGUGCGUAGGCGGAAUAUCAAGUCAGCGGUAAAAAUUCGGGGCUCAACCCCGGCGUGCCGUGGAUACUGGUGAUCUUGAGUGGGCGAGAAGUAUGCGGAAUGCGUGGUGUAGCGGUGAAAUGCGUAGAUAUCACGCAGAACACCAAUGGCGAAGGCAGCUUACCGGCGCCCAACUGACGCUGAGGGACGAAAGCGUGGGUAUCGAACAGGAUUAGAUACCCGAGUAGUC